rnacentral:piRNA from 1 species
CAGGAUGGCCACAUUGAAGCUAUUGAAGUGA